UCUAUAAGCCGCUUAAAAAUUACCCUCUAACCGAAGAGUGUUAGAUAGCGUCGAAGGACAAGAAGACCCUAUAGAACUUAAUUUAAAUAAAUAUAAAAAAAUUUACUAAAAUUCGGUUGGGGCGACCAGGGAAUUACCCAUCAUCCCUAAGCAAAAGAUAAAUAUAUCAAAAUACUGACCCUUCUACAAGAUCAUUAAAACAAGCUACCUUAGGGAUAACAGGCUAAUCUCACUAGAGAGUCCUUAUCAAUAGUGGGGAUUGGCACCUCGAUGUUGGCUUAGGGAAUCUCUAUAACGCAAAAGUUAUAUAAAGAUGGUUUGUUCAACCAAUAACACCCUACAUGAGCUGAGUUCAGACCGGCGUAAGCCAGGUUAGUUUCUAUCCUCGAUCACUAUAUCUAUUUAUAGUACGAAAGGACCUAAUUAGAGUAACAUUUACACACAGGGAAUAAAUAUAAACCAUUCUAAAUAAAAUAAUUCAUAAACUAUGAGUAAGUUGGCAGAAUAGUGCCACC
rnacentral:rRNA from 1 species